ACCCAAACUCAUCAGUAAAUGGCGCUCUGGUGCUGCUGUGGAUACACUAGGGCGAUUUCAGCUACGUGCUCUGCUCAUGCGCAGCUCAGAAAUAAACGAGCACUGGCCUGAGCAAGACGUUAGCUUUUGUCCUCGCACUAUAUCAUCCACAGGAGCCUGAGCAGCACUCACAUGUGGAGAGGCUUCGCUUCUUCAGUCAAUCACAUGCACGCCACACAGCCUCCAUUAUUGUUUCAGCCAAACUGGGUUUUCCCUCCUGCAGAUGACUACAACGAAGAGUUUUUAAGCCAUUUUACAGACUGAACCGUGGCUCUCAACCAGACCAGACCAGACGAUGUAUUCCCUCAGGGAGAGGAGUGGGCCACAGAGACAAAACCUCUCCAGUUAGAAGCGCCAAGCUGCUGACCUGAUGUGGAUCUCAUAUCUCGCCAACGUCUCCCCCCGGCAACAAAUAUAUAUGUGUGUACUUUUCCAUUUGAUUUGGUGUCAGCGGUCAGGAGCGAUAAUGGGGUAAACAGCGUAUAGCUCACAGAGUUUGCCCGACUGGAACAAAAAAAAAAAAAUUAACUUCGUUUGAAACUUUGCUGUAAAGUUUUUUACACGGGAGGAUGAUUCAGAUACAUCUCUGUGUGUCUGUGUGUGUCACGAUUUAACAUUAAGCCCCAAGGGAGAUAAGAGCGGAUGAUCGGCGGCCUCUCUCUGCCUUUUCUGCUUUGUGCUCCAGUAGAUGAAGUGAUCAGAGUGGCACCAUGCAGAGUGCCACAUAAAAGAGGAUGAAAAAGACACAAAAGGCUCUUCUGUUGCACGGAGACAUCAUGCCAGUUGAACAAAACUUGUUGUCCAUUGUAUGAAAAUAUGUAUGACACGUUUGAGCUGUCAGUAGUAUUAAAAGGGCUCUACGUUAGUCUUGCAACAUGCCGUUUCUUUACAUUCAGUUUUCAAUCUUAUUUUAUGUAAACCCUGGGCCUAUGCUGAUGUUAGUUUUAGGUACAAUCACUCGGUUAGGAUUCGGAAAAACACAACAUUUUGGCUUUAAAUCCAGGUUUCUGUCCCCACAAAAACACGGCUGGAAAUCAUCCCGAGGCACCCUACCACCAUCCCCUCCACCUGUGCGAUAUGACACGUUUUUGCAGAAUUGUCAACACUGUGAAGCCUCUGACACAUCGGGUUUGCAGAAACAUUUCCUAAACUGACAUUUCAACUUGUCUGGUGAGCUGGUAUGACAUAAAUGUUCUUUGCUUAUUUUUCUCCCUUUGCAACGGACAAAUCCAAACGACAGUGACGCGGGUUUCCGUAACUUGAAUUUUGCGUGUUAAGUCAUUUCGGCACAUCAAAUCGCUCUGAUGGGUUCAGUUCCAUCUGAGCCUCCUCCUCCACCCCGCGCAGCUUCGCGGCUCUGAUGUACACACAGCGUCCAUGGAGGAUGAUGUGUGGGAUCAGAGCACCCUUUAUUGCUUAAUGGCCUGUCUGUAUGGCGGAGAGUUAGAGACCACAGUGGAGUCGCAACAGGGGACCCGAUGCUGCAGUUCAUCUUCAUUUUAAUUGGGAACAUUUUGUGUUGCUCCUUCCUCCACAUUAAUAAACCAAAGGCCCACGGCAGUUUCUCGAAAACUCAUUAAUGCACGAGAUGCAGUCCGAGCCAGGUGCUGCUGAGCGGGGAGCGCAGAAUUGGAAUAAAUACUUUUCCCUCUCUUUCUCCCCACGAUAUCAUUUUCUGCAGCUGCGUUAUUAGCUGUGACAACAACAAACAAUAACCCCACAAGCACAACACGAACAGAAGUUAGCUGCAACAUUACUUUGGGUUGUAUAAGCUAAUAAUAAACUCCUGUUAAUUCAGUCCUGAUCGUCACUCAGCGACUCUUGUCAGACCAGGUCAAGAUAUUGUAGGUUUUCUGUCGAUGGACUCUUUGCCCCCUCUGAGUUGAGCAAUGUGUGCGAGAUGCCGCACAGCGAGGGAGAUUCGGGCUACAAAGGGGCAGCUGCUACUGCAAUUGCUUGAGCUGUUUUGGGACACGGCGUGAUGAUUCAUGCUGGCAAAUUGAUUCAAUUCUUGGGCUGAUAAGCAGCUUUUUUUUUUCUUUUUUUUUCUCUUUGUGCCCAAAUGCUGAAAUGGCUUUUAAAAUACCCUUUGAAAAACACGUCUCCCUUGCCACAGUGAAAAAGGUGCAUAGGUGGUACACAGUAACGACGACAUCUCGCAAUAUAUGGUGAUGCAGUUCGAUUCUAACCACAGCUUCGACAAAUCACCUAUUCUGUACAGUCUCCUCACUUUGAAGCUGGGGCUUUGUGUUACGCAGGUGUUUGCAUUUCUGCCGCUAUUUUUACACGUUAAUCUUGACAGGUUUAUUGUGUCCUGCUGCCUUAGUAGUAUCUGUGCAUGUAUCUGUAUAUGUGGGGCGUAUGUUUGAUAAGUGCACAGCAGGUGUGGGUCUGUUUCAAGGGAACACUGGUGGAAAUGGGAAAAAAAAAAAAAAAAACCUUUGGCCAACUCUUAUCAGCAUCAGGCAGUCCAUAGCAACAAACCAGGCAGCAAAAUAGGUUUCAAAACAGCCCACGGGCCAACCUGCGCCACACAUCUCAGCUCCGCCUCUGCACAGGAGAUCACACACGCCGCUGGACUUCUUGCCCCUCGCUCAGCACAUCACCGUAUAAGCCCAUGUUCAGCUGAGAUGCAGGGGGUUUGAUCAGAACAACAGUGUGGGUAUGUUGCUUGAGAUUCACACACACAAGCCCCUCAUUAUCAGUAAAGGGCACUGAGCCCUGGCUUCCCACCUGUUGUCAAAUCCCCUCAUCUUCAGCACAGACGAGUUUUUAGGGAGACCGGAACACACAGUCCUGGAGGAAUCAAUCUUCUUAAAUGUCAGCCUUGCAAAAUUGGGUCCGUCCCAAACUGCGGCCCGUGCUGCGAGUUUAUUCCGAGGAUUCAAUUCAGUCGUGUGAAACAGAGGCCAAAACAAACUUUGUCAGGCUCUUAAACUGCAAGAAACUGAGUGCAUAACUAGCCAAUUAGCAUAUAAACCCUGGGUGAGUUUAAGUGGAAUGCCAUCCCCCACAAUGCAUACUUCUUGUUAAAAUGCCAUCCACCCUUUCUGCCCUAGUAGCAGAGAGAGUGCAGGGACAGAGGGGUUGUUUAGCUCAAUGUGUCGGUCUAGUCUGCCUGACUCACUGAUUCUGUUUCUGACUGAGGUUUUGCACAAGCUAGAAUCGACGGCUUCCACCGCUUCUCUGUAGACGCAAACAUGUGUUUAUAGUUAUGACAAGUACAACAGGACUGUUUAAAGGUAAAAAUGUGAUUCUGGAGGAAGAUAGUAGAUAGUUUAUUCUCUCACAAGUGCUCCUUUUAUAAAAAAAGAUGAGCAUCAGUCUCCAUAAGGCGACAUCAUGAUGCUGAAACAUGGCAGACAAAAGUAAACUUUGGGUUGGUGGUAAGAAACUUCCAUCUAAAGUCAAUUAAUUAUAUUUCACAACUUACAUGAUCAGUUUCCUUUGUUCUUAGUUGUAAUUAAGAGAGUGGAAACAGCUGUCUAAGUGUUUGUUGAAAAGCUCUGAGCGAUGCAAGGCACCUUCUUUUUUGGCAUUAAAAGGCGCUCCCACAUUCCGACUUGACGCACUCGAACACACUGAAGUUGGCGAGACAACUUCCCAACUCGGCAAAUGGGACCUGCCGCGGAGCACGAUGGAUGGCGGUAUCAUCUGUCCACAAAAGCCUUUUUUUUUUUUUUUUAAAUCAGUUGCUCAUUAAAGAGAUCCCCCCUGGAAGAAGCUGGCCAAAUUUUUGUUUGGAGAACGAUUUUCUCUGUUUCUUAUUAAUGAGAAUCUACUUCUGCCUCUGCCAGAUGGAGGAAUAAGGCUGUUUCAACAGUUAUCAUCUGUGUUAAGCCUGAACUGCCCUCAUCUGUCAAAAUCUACACUCUCCGACUCUGAACAUGGUGAAAAUUUUCCCCUUCGUAGAUCUAACAGCUGUUUUUAUGGAUAGAUUCCCGGGAACACAAGAUAUUGGUUUAAGGAAAUGAGUGCAUUACUAAAGAAAUACCGCGUGUGAAUCUUUGGUAAACCUUGUGUUACCUGCAAACUGCAACUCACGGUGAGCGUGAGAUGGAGCCACAGAGUGUGGUGAGGAGGAAACGCAUGACUUAGAGAGACAGGGACAUUGUCAAGGAAGACAAACAAAAGCGAGCAUAAGAGUGUGUGUUCAAAAGUUUGUUUUUAAUAUUAACUAAAAAAAAAUAUUUGCCUAUGUCCUCCACCCGAGUCUACACAAAAAUCCACUGUCACCAUAUGAGAAGAGGCCUCCCUCUGCAUGGAAAGUAAUUCACUAGCAAAAGCACUCUCUAGUCACAGUUUAUGUGCUGUUGGAAAACAAUAAUAAAAAAAUGCAGCAAUACAAAAAUCAAUCAAAGGUACAGGAGUCAUCAGUAAAUAUACAGUAAAACGAUACAUCUGUGUUUAAAAGGCAUCAAUAAGAUUAAACAAUAAGGCUACGAUAUCUGAAUGCAAAGUGUAGCAGUGUGUAGAGUUCAAAACACUUCAUGUACAGUUAAAAAAAACACAGCAGCCAAAACAGACACAUCGUGAGCUAAUGUUAGCUCAGACAUCACGGUCAGUUAAUUUAAUGAAUUUCAAUGUAAUUUUCCACUCAGCACACACUCGACACUCAAUGACGCACACAGGGAUAGGACUCGCGCUUCUAAUCAAUAUUAUAAAAUUCCCCCUCUUCACACACCGGUAUAAAUACUGCAGGACGCACAGAGACUUCACACUGUCACCUCAUUUUAAUCAUCUUCACCCAGCAGAUCGCCUGACGGAGCCUUUUCACCGUCGCUGAUUUGAAUUCGUCAGUGUGAAUCAAGCUGUUUUUCUUGCAGGACAAACAAGUCUCAGUUCCAAUCACUCGUGACCUUUAACAACCUGUCAGCCCCAAACUGUGAUUUGUGCUCAUAUUUAUCGUAUUGAUUUUAAUUAAGUCUCUUAAUUGCGUUGUGCUGACAGGAGAAUUGAGUGGAGAUUGUUGAAGAUAGUUGUGCAGCAUCUUCUAUACAAGGUCAAUACAGACUCAGCUAGCUAAAAACUUCAACUCGGACUGUCCGAAAGCUGCUCUUGGCUUUAUUGCUGUAUGGAAACUGAGAGUUGAAAAAUACAAAACAGGCACAUCUGACAGAUUACAUUGAAAAAUAGACAUUUAGACACUUCAGCUGGAUUUAGCUUAUUUUCUUUGGCACUUCAGGGCAGUGGAAACAAGCUCUAGAGUCCAGAAACAUCAUUCACCUUUAAUAUUUAAUAAGGCCAACUGUUAACAACCAGUUUAGACAUCCAUCAGUUAUGGAACAAAAUUGGCAUUCAUUUAGUUGGUAUUAUGGUUAAUCUUAGCUCAAUAUAAAAUAUUGUUUUAGUUCUAUUUUGAAUCUCCACCAUCUCCUGAGAGAAAUAUCUGGCUCUUGAGCUGCUUAAUGCUCCGCUCAUCUAUUUGUUGUUUUAUGCUGAGCAUGUAGCGUACAGUACUUUUCAACAGGCCCCUGGUAGCUCCAUAUAUCCAAAUAUAACGGGUAGCUAUCCUUGGCUGUAGGGAGUAGCUUCCGUUUGGUAAUUAAUUACCGGCCCUUUAGCUGACUAAAUUCUGCCUAGACCACGGCCUUGGAUCACGGAGGGAGUGCAGGCAACAGGGUUCCCCUCAACUAGCUUGUCUGGCUCCCAGUGAUCAUGGCUGGACACCAGACUGGGGCUGAACACAGCCUCCGGGACUGAAAAAGGUCGGUUUGACAACAGAAGAUACAGUAUGGAGGUGAUUAACACCAGCUCUAACCAGGACAAUGAGUCCAGUGAUGUGAAGGCACAACCAGUGUCUCUGAGAAGACAGAGUCUGACCCUGAAAAGACAAACCAAGACUGUUUUGAGAGGCAUCAGUGAUGAACAUCUUGGAUACUAUUAACGGAUGUUUCGCAUUAGCACACUUCAACAAAACGGAUGCCAACGACGGCAUCCUCCUAUCACCAAACUACUAAAGACAUCAUAUCUGCC